CUCCUUUCUAAAACAAAAAAAACCUUCAAAUCCUCUCCCCCUUUUCUCUCUGCCAACCCAGAAUCCGACGAGAAGUAGACCGGUCGCAGUCGUGCCGUCCGCCGUGCCAGCCACCGUGAAUCGGAAAAUGGUAGUGGAGCAAGUAGGUGGCUGACGUGACAGUGGCGGUGGAGCAGAGGCGAUGGCCAGAUUCUGACAUGGGGCGGCAGCAGCUAAUUAGGCUAGGGUUUUUAGUUCCCCCUUUUUUUGUUUUGUGUAUUGGGCUUGGGUUCUUUUAAGCUUAGGGCAUUUAGUUGGGUAUUAAUUUGGGCCUGUAAAUUGAACUUGUACAAUUAUAACUUGAUUAAAAUUAGUAUAUGACCGAACAUAUAUUUAUACUAGUGAACAUUAUUAAACUAUA